UACGUAGGGGGCAAGCGUUGUCCGGAAUCAUUGGGCGUAAAGAGCGUGUAGGCGGCUCGGUAAGUCCGCUGUGAAAGUCCAGGGCUCAACCCUGGAAUGCCGGUGGAAACUGUCGAGCUAGAGUCCGGAAGAGGCGAGUGGAAUUCCUGGUGUAGCGGUGGAAUGCGCAGAUAUCAGGAGGAACACCAAUAGCGAAGGCAGCUCGCUGGGACGGUAUUGACGCUAAGGCGCGAAAGCGUGGGGAGCAAACAGG
rnacentral:rRNA from 1 species